rnacentral:tRNA from 1 species
AUUUAUAUAGUAUAAAAAGUAUAUUUGACUUCCAAUCAAAACGUCUAAUAGAAUUAGUAUAAAUA